rnacentral:rRNA from 1 species
CAGCCGCCACGGUAAUACGUAGGGCGCAAGCGUUGUCCGGAAUUAUUGGGCGUAAAGAGCUCGUAGGCGGUCUGUCGCGUCUGGUGUGAAAUCCCGAGGCUCAACCUCGGGCUUGCAUCGGGUACGGGCAGACUAGAGUGCGGUAGGGGAGACUGGAAUUCCUGGUGUAGCGGUGGAAUGCGCAGAUAUCAGGAGGAACACCGAUGGCGAAGGCAGGUCUCUGGGCCGCAACUGACGCUGAGGAGCGAAAGCAUGGGGAGCGAACAGGAUUAGAUACCCCCGUAGUCCCUGUCUCUUAUAC